GUUAGGAAUAUUGGACAAUGGGCGAAAGCCUGAUCCAGCCAUGCCUCGUGAACGAUGAAGGCCUUCGGGUUGUAAAGUUCUUUAGCCGAUGAUUAUAAUGACUGUAGUCGGAAAAUAAGCCCCGGCUAACUUCGUGCCAGCAGCCGCGGUAAUACGAAGGGGGCGAGCGUUAUUCGGAAUCACUGGGCGUAAAGCGUGCGUAGGCGGUUUUGUAAGUUAGGAGUGAAAGCCCAGGGCUCAACCUUGGAAUUGCUCUUAAAACUGCAAGGCUCGAAUCUCGGAGAGGAUAGCGGAAUUUCCAGUGUAGCAGUGAAAUGCGUAGAUAUUGGAAGGAACACCAGUGGCGUAAGCGGCUAUCUGGACGAGUAUUGACGCUGAGGCACGAAAGCGUGGGGAUCAAACAGGAUUAGAUACCCGUGUAGUCC
rnacentral:rRNA from 1 species